GAUCAUGGCUCAGGAUGAACGCUAGCUACAGGCUUAACACAUGCAAGUCGCGGGGCAGCAUUUCUUAGCUUGCUAAGGAAGAUGGCGACCGGCGCACGGGUGAGUAACGCGUAUCCAACCUUCCCUUGUCCACGGGAUAGCCCGUCGAAAGGCGGAUUAAUACCCAAUGACGUCUCUAGAAGACAUCUGAAAGGGAUUAAAGAUUUAUCGGUGAUGGAUGGGGAUGCGUCUGAUUAGCUUGUUGGCGGGGUAACGGCCCACCAAGGCGACGAUCAGUAGGGGGUUCUGAGAGGAAGGUCCCCCACAUUGGAACUGAGACACGGUCCAAACUCCUACGGGAGGCAGCAGUGAGGAAUAUUGGUCAAUGGACGAGAGUCUGAACCAGCCAAGUAGCGUGCAGGAUGACGGCCCUAUGGGUUGUAAACUGCUUUUAUAAGGGAAUAAAGUGAGUCUCGUGAGACUUUUUGCAUGUACCUUAUGAAUAAGGACCGGCUAAUUCCGUG
rnacentral:rRNA from 1 species